UUCGCGAUGGCGUCAUCCCUCAAUACAACCCAAUCGGGGUCUGAAUCCUGGUAAUUCAGGGACAUGAACGACCAAUGCUCUCUUUCAAAGGAGGGUGAGUUUGGUAAGUUAGGAAUCGUGAUAGAAGAACGAAGAUUUAUUGUUUUUGUGUGAAUCCAGCAGUAAUCCAUGACAUUAACAAGAAAGGCACCAGAGGAGUAGAAAGCAAUCCUGG
rnacentral:misc_RNA from 1 species